rnacentral:misc_RNA from 1 species
AAGUCGUAACAAGGUUUCCGUAGGUGAACCUGCGGAAGGAUCAUUAACACGUAUCCAAACGUUAAAACCCCCCCCGUGAACCUUCAUCCUGCUCUUUCUACGAUUCCUGUAGACCGUACACUCGGGCAGGAGCUUUGCCAAAGGGUCCCCAUGCCCCCUAAUAACCCCACAGCUUAAUGUGAAGCUCAAUGUAAUACAUUGGGUAAAAAAACCGAACAACUGUUAACAAUGGAUAUCUUGGUUCUC